AAAUGAAGUAGGUCGCAAUUUUAAAAGUCUAGUUCGGUAAUUCAAGUCAAAGUAGACACAACCUAUUCCAAUCUUCCAACUCUUUCCACCAUCUACUCUCAAUCUACCUACGUCUUCAAUUUCUCUGAAAAAAAAUUAUUUCCACCACAAAAACAUAAUUGAAGUCUUUCCAAAAGAGAAAUUAAAAAUCAUCACUUUCCCACCAAACCCACAUCACACCAAAGUCUUCAAAUAACUCACUUGCCCCAAACAAUUCCCAAGAAAAAUCAGACAAAAAAAGAGAGAAAAAAAAAAAAAUAAAAAAAAGAAAUGGAAGGACUGAUUCCGGUUGUGUACAGAUCACUCAAGAGGAGCAGAAUCCGACGGCGUUACGAAUGCCUGUCGUCGGGCGCAACUGAAGCCUACAACAUCAAAGAUUUCGACGAUCAUUUAAACGGUGGGGCCCGCCUCCGCCGUUGCAGCUCCGUUAAGGUCGACGGCACGAGGAGCUUUGCCACCGUGGAUGAUGAUGAUGCAUACGAGCCUAAGCGGCUCGUGAGGUUCCGAAGCUACAGAGUGGUCUCGUGUUUAUGUGCUGCUGCAUAAAUGUUGUCUGUUUUUUAAUUAUUUUCUUUUCUUAUUAGUGAUUGUUAUAUGGAGUAUGAAUUAAUCGUUACAGUACUCGUUUUUCAAUUGAUUCAGAUGGGGAGUGAUUAAGCUGAUCAUAUCUCUGAGUUCAAGAGUAUUGUUUUCUCAAAUAUUACUGUCAAAAGAAAUCUAAUUUAAAAUUAUAGGCAAAAAAUUGUUUAUAUCCAGAUAUAUUGCGCAUCCACCAAUCCUCAAGUAGAAUUUGUUAACUUAGUAUUUAGGAUUUAUUAAUCAAAAUUAUAAUUUAAUUAAGGCGAAUGUAAUGUAAUUCUGCAUCCAGAUGUAUCUCAACUAAUUAAUUCUUUGUAGAAAGAACAUUUGUAAAAUAUAGUUAAUCACUGCGAUAAUCUUUCUGAAUUUUCUCGAUUAAUUGAAGCUCGGAAUUAAAUGGUGAUACAAUAUUCAGCAUAAUUAAUUUAGUCAAUUUCACAGCUCAUCAAGUUGCAAACAAAAUUAUUCUAAAAAAUUAAGCAAAUCAGAAAAUCGUGGAUGUUCAUAGAUGUUCUCCAACAUACAUGUCAGAAAAUCACAAAG
rnacentral:lncRNA from 1 species